rnacentral:lncRNA from 1 species
UGCAAAUGAAAUUAUUUAAAAUUAUUUAAAGUAACUAAUAAUUAAUGUGCAUGAAUGUAACCUAAUAAUCACUGAGACAUAUAUACAAAUAGAUAUAAAUAGAAAUACAAAAUAUAUUAUUUCUGAUCCAUAAAAAUAGAUGCACAAUUUCCCAGUCAUUGUUGCAAGACUUUAGAGGCGAAGGCUGGGGCUUGGUGGCAUGAUGAUUGUUCCGGAGCUUUUGAUCACUGCCAGUAAAAAGGUUGAUUUGUCCGGUGCAGAUGACUGGGGCUGUGUGUGUGUGUGUGUGUGUGACUCAAACUCUUUACUCCAGUGACACAGAGACAGGCCGGAACAUUAACCCAGGCUCAGUCUCAUUACGUCAGUGACACACCAGUGCUGCGUGGCACCACAGAUAUUGCUUAGUCAAGUUUCAUCAAUGUACAAGCAUAAAUGCUGUUGUGAUAUGAAGGGAAAAAGUAAUGUACUGCAUUAUUACAUAGCUUUGUUAAUAUUUACAACCUCAUUUUGCCUUUGUACAGUAGGGAGUAGUGAUUAAUCCACAGAAAGCACUUGAUCUAUCUACGUAUAUAUGCAAAUAUGAAUUCCAUUUAUCAUUUGUGUUGAAUUUGUAUUUCACACAUAGCAGAUAUUCUUGCACUGCCGCUACUUGAGCUUGUUGAUAUUUACAGUUUGUGUCUCUUGUCAUCCAAUAUGGCGUGCCAGCUUAGCGUUGAGGCUCAGUUGUUGUGAAUUUCAAAACCCCAGCAGAGCUGUAAGAUCUAAGCAGCAAUGUACAAGACAUCAGGACCCGUCACUACAAAUCAAAAAUCACCCUGCCCAUGUUUGCCUGAGUGGCCUGAACUCUUUUUAAAUGUGGUGAGUCAGAGGCCUAAAACCAGAUUUCCCAGAAAGCAGCUGUCAGAUGCUUUGAUCCCACUGGCGUCCUUUCCUGUGUGUUUGAUAUUGGUGUUGUUGUCGGAUCAUGUGCGUGUACCCUGCUGCCUCCCCAUAAUGCAGAGCACACACUGUACGGACAUGCCCUCAUGAUGCCAUUAGGCACAACAGAGCUGCAUAAUAGCCCCUGUCCUGAUGCUGCCACUGCUAAUGCCUGUUUGAGAAUUACAUGGGUGAGUGUACUCACAGAUCUCUCUGUGUAUUUAGUGUAAAAUUAAAAAAAUCACACUUCAGCCAUCUCAUUCUUAAACAUGAAAAAGCUUGCUUAUUCAGGGUACAAAUCAUACAAUGACUUUUAAGGAGGCUGACCUUUUAAAAGCAAUUCCAGUAAGACUUUAUAACUAAAUUUUCUGUUAAUGCAUUUGGUAACAUGAAUUAUGUUUGUUUUGUUAAUCAUUUUUACAUAUACACUAACCUUCAGAAGUUUGUGGUUGCUAAGAAUUUUAAUACAUUUUUUUAAUGAAUGUUUUUUUUUUUUUUCACUUUUAAAAUAAAUCACUGAUGCUAAACCUAACAGCAAUAUUGUGCAAUAGUAUUACAAUUUAAUAAUGGUUUUCUAUUUUUUAAUAUAUUUUAAAAUGUUAGGGUUAGGAAACCAUGAUACAUUUUCAGGAAUCCUUGACGAACAGAAAUCUAGAAAAGAGCAGCUAUUUUAAGUUAAAAAUAGUAAUUGUGUAACAUCAUAAAUGUCUACACUGUCUACUUUUGAUCAAUAUAAUGUGUCCUUGCUGAAUAAAAGUAUUAA